ensembl:lncRNA
AUAUCUAUACCAUCUGACUGGGUGGUGAUAUCUAUACCAGUACAUCUGACUGGGUGGUGAUAUCUAUACCAGUACAUCUGACUGGGUUGUGAUAUCUAUACCAUCUGACUGGGUGGUGAUAUCUAUACCAGUACAUCUGACUGGGUGGUGAUAUCUAUACCAUCUGACUGGGUGGUGAUAUCUAUACCAGUACAUCUGACUGGGUUGUGAUAUCUAUGCCAGUACAUCUGACUGGGUGGUAUUAUUAAUACCAUCUGACUGGGUGGUGAUAUCUAUACCAGUACAUCUGACUGGGUGGUAUUAUUAAUACCAUCUGACUGGUGGUGAUAUCUAUACCAUCUGACUGGGUUGGUGGUAAUAUCUAUACCAUCUGACUGGGUGGUGAUAUCUAUACCAGUAUAUCUGACUGGGUGGUGAUAUCUAUACCAGUACAUCUGACUGGGUUGAUGGUGAUAUCUAUACCAUCUGACUGGGUUGGUGGUGAUAUCUAUACCAUCUGACUGGGUGGUGAUAUCUAUACCAGAACAUCUGACUGGGUUGGUGGUGAUAUCUAUACCAUCUGACUGGGUGGUGAUAUCUAUAUCAUCUGAUUGGGUGGUGAUAUCUAUACCAGUACAUCUGACUGGGUUGGUGGUGAUGUCUAUACCAGUACAUCUGACUGGGUGGUGAUAUCUAUACCAGUACAUCUGACUGGGUGGUGAUAUCUAUACCAGUACAUCUGACUGGGUGGUGAUAUCUAUACCAUCUGACUGGGUGGUGAUAUCUAUACCAGUACAUCUGACUGGGUUGGUGGUGAUAUCUAUACCAUCACAUCUGACUUGGUGGUGAUAUCUAUACCAGUACAUCUGACUGGGUGGUGAUAUCUAUACCAUCUGACUGGGUGGUGAUAUCUAUACCAGUACAUCUGACUGGGUGGUGAUAUCUAUACCAGUACAUCUGACUGGGUGGUGAUAUCUAUACCAGUACAUCUGACUGGGUUGUGAUAUCUAUACCAGUACAUCUGACUGGGUGGUGAUAUCUAUACCAGUACAUCUGACUGGGUGGUGAUAUCUAUACCAUCUGACUGGGUGGUGAUAUCUAUACCAGUACAUCUGACUGGGUGGUGAUAUCUAUACCAGUAUAUCUGACUGGGUGGUGAUAUCUAUACCAGUACAUCUGACUGGGUUGAUGGUGAUAUCUAUACCAGUACAUCUGACUGGGUUGAUGGUGAUAUCUAUACCAUACAUCUGACUUGGUGGUGAUAUCUAUACCAGUACAUCUGACUGGGUUGUGAUAUCUAUACCAUCUGACUGGGUGGUGAUAUCUAUACCAGUACAUCUGACUGAGUGGUGAUAUCUAUACCAGUACAUCUGACUGGGUGGUGAUAUCUAUACCAUCUGACUGGGUUGUGAUAUCUAUACCAGUACAUCUGACUGGGUGGUGAUAUCUAUACCAUCUGACUGGGUGGUGAUAUCUAUACCAGUACCUCUGACUGGGUUGAUGGUGAUAUCUAUACCAUCUGACUGGGUGGUGAUAUCUAUACCAGUACAUCUGACUUGGUGGUGAUAUCUAUACCAGUACAUCU